UAACCACUGCUGCUGGUGGAGAGACCUGGCUGUCGCCUGCAUCUCACUUUCAGAAUGUGGCCCUGAUUAAGCUCCGCAGAUUCGGGCCACAACACCCCUGAGUUUACCGGUUUUGGUUUCUUCCUUGUGACCUUCGGCUCCAGGAUGCAGCACAGCUCCUCACUGCACUAUUUAUCAGAAUGUUGCUCUGCAUGCUUGAAAGUUUCCCCAAACAGAGGUACAUAAAAACAAACAGAGGCGAAACACAAAUCCCAUCAGCCCUGGAGGAAAAGGCCCUGAAGCUCUUCCAGUGCAGAGGCCACGCAGAGGACAGGCUCCUACCUGUGCACAUCAGCCACGCCUGGGGCGCCUCCUGGAGUCCAGGCUGCUGGCAAUGGAAUUCAUCAUGUUGCUGAUGUCACUAAUGAUGCGCUGGACACUUGAAGUAAGAGCCCUUUGAAGCUGACGUGCUGCAGGAUAAAACACACUCUUUCUCUGGAAAAGAGAAAGCCAAGAUACUGUGGGGGCACAAGGAACAAUGGAGCCAAUGAAACGGAGGUCAGAGCUGAAGGUUUCUGCUACAAGCAAGCUAUAUACAGGUGUUCAGAUGUGUCCGGAGUUUCUUCCUUCUGGUGGGUUUGCGGUUUCGCUGACUUCAAGAGUGAAGCUGCAGACCUUCGCGUUGAGUGUUACAGCUCUUAAAGGCCGCGCGUCUGGAGUUGUUCGUUCCUCCUGAUGAGUUCGUGGUCUCCCUGGCUUCAGGUGUAAAGCUGCAGACCUUCGCGGUGAGUGUUACAGCUCAUAAAGGUGGUGCAGACCCAAAAAGUGAGCAGCAGCAAGAUUUACUGCAAAGAGCAAAGCACAAAGAGUCCACAGCAUGGAAAUGGAUCCCAGCAGUUUGCCGCUCCUGGCUUGGGAGGCCUGCUUUCGUUCCCUUAUCUGGCCCCACCCACAUCCUACUGCUUGGUCCAUUUUAUAGAGAGCUGAUUGGUCCAUUUUACAGAGAGCUGAUUGGUCCGUUUUACAGAGAGCUGAUGGGUCCGUUUUGACAAAGCACUGAUUGGUGCGUUUACAAACCUUCAGCUAGACAGAAACGUUCUUCAGGUCCUCACCUGACCCAGAAGCCUAGCCGGCUUCACUUCUCAAUGGCAGUCGCUAUAGGACUUUGCAGCACCUAGCCCAGGCACUCUGGCAGCCCAGAGGGAACUCAUCUCCUGAUCAAGCCCAGCAGGCACCGGCUGGCUGCGCUGAGCGCGGGGCCUUCUGAGCCCGGCCCACCCGAACCCGCGCAGGCCCCUGAGUGCCGCUUGCGGCCCUGGCUCCCAGACGUUCCUCUCCCUCCACACCUCCCCGUGAGCAGAGGGAGCCGGCUCCUGCCUCGGCCAGCCCCAGAGAGGGGCCCCCACAGCGCAGCAGCGGGUUGAAGGGCUCCUCAAGCGCGUCCAGAGCCAUUGGACUCUGAGGCCGAGAAGGCGCCGAGAGCGAGUGAGGGCUGCUAGCACGUUGUCACCUCCCACUUCUAGGUUGUAUAAGGAUUACAUGAGUCAAUAUAUAUAAAACAUUUGAACAGUGGUCUGGCACAUAGUAAUUGCUACACACGUUUCUAAGGUGAUUCUGGACAAGCUAUUACAAAAUAUCUGUUCUUUACCAAAGUAGAGCUUAUUAGCACAAUCAUGAGACUGGAUAUAAUUUCACAACAUCAAAAUAAUUUCUAGCCCCAAAAGAAAAAACAAACCAAAAACACUGAGAAAUAAAUUCUGCUUUCUCAUUGAGUUUCUAAGGAAGUCAAUCUGAAGUUUAACUUUCUUUAAAAUUAUUGUUCUAACUUCAGUUUUCUAGGAGUUUGACAAAAUUUUUAAGUUUGAGAAGUACAUAGAGGCAGUCAGCAAUCUAGUAUCUGUUAAUUUUUCUAUGUUAAAAGGCUUCGAUUCACCUAUUAUUACAUUUGUCAUCUUAAGAACAAUAGUGCACGGGUUGAAAUAAAACAUUCUUAUUUGUG
rnacentral:lncRNA from 1 species